rnacentral:sRNA from 1 species
UAAAUAUGUGUGCGUGCGGUAAAUCUGAU